CCUACGGGUGGCAGCAGUGGGGAAUAUUGGGCAAUGGGCGCAAGCCUGACCCAGCAACGCCGCGUGAAGGAAGAAGGCUUUCGGGUUGUAAACUUCUUUUCUGAGGGACGAAGAACGUGACGGUACCUCAGGACUACGCCACGGCUAACUACGUGCCAGCAGCCGCGGUAAUACGUAGGUGGCAAGCGUUAUCCGGAUUUAUUGGGUGUAAAGGGCGUGUAGGCGGGAAAGCAAGUCAGAUGUGAAAACUCAGGGCUCAACCCUGAGCCUGCAUUUGAAACUGUGGUGCUUGGGUGCUGGAGAGGCAAUCGGAAUUCCGGGUGUAGCGGGGAAAUGCGUAGAUAUACGGAGGAACACCAGUGGCGAAGGCGGAUGGCUGGACAGGAACUGACGCUGAGGCGCGAAAGCGUGGGGAGCAAACAGGAUUAGAUACCCGAGUAGU
rnacentral:rRNA from 1 species